rnacentral:rRNA from 1 species
GAUGAACGCUAGCGAUAGGCUUAACACAUGCAAGUCGAGGGGCAGCACAAGGUAUCUUGCUAUCUGGGUGGCUACCGGCGCACGGGUGCGUAACGCGUAUGCAACUUGCCCUAUACAGGAGGAUAACCCGUCGAAAGACGGACUAAUACUGCGUAUGCUCACAACUUGGCAUCAAGUGGUGAGGAAAGAAAUUCGGUAUAGGAUAGGCAUGCGUCCCAUUAGCUUGUUGGUGAGGUAACGGCUCACCAAGGCAACGAUGGGUAGGGGAACUGAGAGGUUUAUCCCACACAAUGGUACUGAGACACGGACCAGAAUCCUAAGGGAGGCAGCAGUGAGGAAUAUUGGUCAAUGGGCGCGAGCCUGAACCAGCCAAGUCGCGUGAAGGAUGACUGUCUUAUGGAUUGUAAACUUCUUUUAUACGGGAAUAACAAGAGUCACGUGUGACUCCCUGAAUGUACCGUAUGAAUAAGCAUCGGCUAACUCCGUG